CAAGGUAAACCCAUACUAAUGCCAAUGUCCUCAGUGUCAGUGUAGAAGUGCUUUGAGCUUGCCACCCUACGGACACGGAAGCCUGCUGGACCCUGCGUGCACUUCAGACACUGCCAAUAAAGCCCAGUUGUACAACAGACUCUGGCGGAAACUAGAAGUGCUACAAACCUGCUGUGAGAACCACAGGCAGCAAAAUAAGACAGUAACUUGGGCGAGGGAUAUGAACGUCCAUUUGAAGUCUAGUUGCUGUGUGUUCCGACUGCAAUAGGACCGACCUUUGGCUCUCCUUCCCUGGGCUUCUGUGCUCUCAGAUGCAACCUCACCAGCUUCCUGCCCUCAUGCCACUGUGCCCUGCCUCUCCAGACUUCACCUCUACCUCCCCCCUGCCAGGAAAGAUGAUCUUCUUCUUCAGUCUACCUUCAUCCUACCACUGAUCUUUAGGUGCUUAAUUCAGACCGCAAGCAGAUUCUUUUCAGAGUGAA